UGGGUGUAAUGUUCGUUUUAGAUUUCCGACUGAUCCGCUUCUGUCUGCGACGUGGACGGAAAAAAUUAGGCAAAAUCGAAAUGACGCCACAUGGAAACCGACUAAACAUAGUCGAAUAUGCUCGGUCCAUUUUGAUGAGCAAAAUAAGUAUACUAGUAAAACCGGCUUGCGCAAAUUACGACAUGGCACGGUCCCGACUAAAGAUGUACCUGUUUUUAUCAGCGACAAUUGUAAUUACUUGAAACAGCGCAAUUCAAGUUCACCACAAUCGGGUACCUCACGAGACGACACUAAUAAAACACACCUCAAAUCACCGUCUUUGUCUUCGACUUCUAUACUGUCAACAAUUAUCGAUUCUCAGGAAAAGGAUUCACUGCGACAAAAAUUGAAGAAGAAAGUGAUACUGCAACGCAAACUGACAAAAAAAAUCAAACUCCUACAACAAAAAACACGCCGCUUAAAGAAACAAAAUGAAUCACUAAAAAAUAUUUUAAAAAAGUUACGCAACGAGAGAUAGGUAUAUCAAUUCUUAACGAUUUGUGUAACAUACUGUCUGAAAAUGUUUAUGCUGCAGAGCUAUACAACAGCAUAGCUUUUAAAAAUACAGGAAAAAAAUGGCCAAUGCCAAAAUAUACUCCAGAAUUUAGGAAAUUUUGCCUCACAUUACACUUCUACUCGCCUCGAGCAUAUACUUAUGUCCGACAAACAUUUAACACGUGUCUCCCGCACCCGAAAACAAUUUAUAACAGGGCCCAGUUUUAUAAAGUUACAAGUUACAAGUUUACAGGCGUUUACUGGCAACACUUGCUCCGUUUUUUACAAUUUGCGUUUUAUAAAAGUACUGUGUUACAAUUUUACAGGUUACAGGUACAAGUGCCUGUAGCUCAACCAUAGACGAAAAUACGGGAGUUUUAUAGUUUUAAACUCAUAAUCGAACAAGCGUUUUAUAAAAAUAUUGUAAAUUACAAGUGUAGAUUGGUACACUUGUAACAAAAACUUACAUACGUCUUGAGUCCUGUAACAGCACAACAGCAGUUACUUGUAGACUCGUUUUCUGAGAGAUUUUAAACUUUACUCUUUAUUGUUAAGCACCAACGCCAACGAUUGUGCCAGGGCAUGCAUACUUUUCCAUGCACCUUAUCAGUUUUUGUUAAUGUAUCUGAAAUAUAUAGUAAAUAGGAAAUAAAGUGACAAUAUGUUUGAUAUUGAUUUUAUUGACGAUUCGUUUUAUUUUAUCUACUAGAAAAUGGAAAGGGAUUAUUGCCGAUAUUUGUCGUUGAUUUAUUAGCAUUCGUCUCUUUAUUUAAGUAUAGUGCAUUUACCGUAUUU